rnacentral:misc_RNA from 1 species
GGCACAGAGUUAUGUGCC